rnacentral:rRNA from 1 species
GACGAACGCUGGCGGCGUGCUUAACACAUGCAAGUCGAACGGAAAGGCCCUGCUUUUGUGGGGUGCUCGAGGGGCGAACGGGGGAGUAACACGAGAGUAACCUGCCCUAGACUUUGGGAGAACUUCAGGAAACUGGGGCUAAGACCGGAUAGGAGCUCCUGCUGCAGGGUGGGGGUUGGAAAGUUGCGGCGGUUGGGGAUGGACGCGCGGCUUAUCAGCUUGCUGGUGGGGUAGUGGCUGGCCAAGGCAGUGACGGGUAGCCGGCAGGGGAGGGUGGCCGGCCACCAUGGUACUGCGGUACGGCGCAGACUGCUACGGUAGGCAGCGGUGGGGAAUAUUGCACAAUCAGCGGACGCCUGAUGCGGAGGCGCCGGGUUCGGAAUGACGGCCUUCGGGUUGUGAACCGCUUUCGCCUGUGACGAAGCGUGAGUGACGGUAAUCGGUAAAGAAGCACCGGCUAACUACGUG